ACAUCCACAGAACCUUGUAGAGAUACGAGGGUGCCUUCGGGAACUGUGAGACAGGUGCUGCAUGGCUGUCGUCAGCUCGUGUUGUGAAAUGUUGGGUUAAGUCCCGCAACGAGCGCAACCCUUAUCCUUUGUUGCCAGCGGUCCGGCCGGGAACUCAAAGGAGACUGCCAGUGAUAAACUGGAGGAAGGUGGGGAUGACGUCAAGUCAUCAUGGCCCUUACGACCAGGGCUACACACGUGCUACAAUGGCGCAUACAAAGAGAAGCGACCUCGCGAGAGCAAGCGGACCUCAUAAAGUGCGUCGUAGUCCGGAUUGGAGUCUGCAACUCGACUCCAUGAAGUCGGAAUCGCUAGUAAUCGUGGAUCAGAAUGCCACGGUGAAUACGUUCCCGGGCCUUGUACACACCGCCCGUCACACCAUGGGAGUGGGUUGCAAAAGAAGUAGGUAGCUUAACCUUCGGGAGGGCGCUUACCACUUUGUGAUUCAUGACUGGGGUGAAGUCGUAACAAGGUAACCGUAGGGGAACCUGCGGUUGGAUCACCUCCUUACCUUAAAGAAGC
rnacentral:rRNA from 1 species